rnacentral:siRNA from 1 species
AGUAACGUCCUGUCAAACCCGUCCC